rnacentral:lncRNA from 1 species
UGACAAUGAUCUGUGACAUUGUCAAGGUGACAGUUGUUAGUUGACAUACGAUUAUUUCUGAUGUUUGGUGGUCUUCAUUUUGUAUUGGCAAAAAUAUAUCUCCAACUCCUAUCUCUAAAGACGAUGAUAACCAUUGUGAAGAAUGACAUGCAAAGGCUAUUAGAACCACAUAUCAACAAUUUUCUGACCAUGACCAAGUGAUGAAUAUGAUAAAAGUCUACCUCAUGAAAGCCACACUACUUUUCAAAGAAAAAUAUUUUCUUUGGAGUUGUAGGUAUUAUAGUGAAAACUUAAUCUUGACUUCUGUUCUGCAUAAAUGAGAAUCGCACUAUGCCAGGUAACAUAAUGUAGCGAGUACCCUGGUUGAGUCAAGAUAAUAUAAGUGGAAAGAUAAUGUGGCCCAAGUAGUAAAGGAAAGGAUGUACAAACAGCCGAAUGUGAAUCUGGCAAUAAUGUGCCUGUUUAAAUGAGUUUUAGUUGAGUACCAAAUAGUUACCUAGGUUUUCCUGGGAGAAACACUGAUCCAGCCUUUCUGAUUCAACUGAGUUUUUGUAUGGUUUUGAAUAAAUAACUAAACAA